GGGGAAUUUUCCGCAAUGGGCGAAAGCCUGACGGAGCAAGACCGCGUGGGGGAGGAAGGCUUUAGGGUUGUAAACCCCUUUUCUUUGGGAAGAAGUUCUGACGGUACCAAAGGAAUCAGCCUCGGCUAACUCCGUGCCAGCAGCCGCGGUAAUACGGAGGAGGCAAGCGUUAUCCGGAAUGAUUGGGCGUAAAGCGUCCGCAGGUGGCCAUGUAAGUCUGCUGUCAAAACCCAGGGCUCAACUCUGGUCAGGCAGUGGAAACUACAAAGCUAGAGUCUGGUAGGGGCAAAGGGAAUUCCCGGCGUAGCGGUGAAAUGCGUAGAUUUCGGGAAGAACAUCGGUGGCGAAAGCGCUUUGCUAGACCAGAACUGACACUCAGGGACGAAAGCUAGGGGAGCGAAUGGGAUUAGAUACCCCAGUAGUCA
rnacentral:rRNA from 1 species